ensembl:lncRNA
AAAAUAUUUAACAAAUAAACUCAAGUUUUAUGAUUUCUUUUUAAAGUAACACAAUAAAAUAAUAAUAACAAGCAUAUAUACAGGGGGUACAGGUUAGUAAUGAGACUAUAUACAGGGGGUACAGGUUAGUAAUGAGACUAUAUACAGGGGGUACAGGUUAGUAAUGAGACUAUAUACAGGGGGUACAGGUUAGUAAUGAGACUAUAUACAGGGGGUACAGGUUAGUAAUGAGACUAUAUACAGGGGGUACAGGUUAGUAAUGAGACUAUAUACAGGGGGUACAGGUUAGUAAUGAGACUAUAUACAGGGGUACAGGUUAGUAAUGAGACUAUAUACAGGGGGUACAG